GAUGAACGCUAGCGGCAGGCUUAACACAUGCAAGUCGAGGGGUAUAGUAGCAAUACUAGAGACCGGCGCACGGGUGCGUAACGCGUAUGCAACCUACCUUUUACAGAGGGAUAGCCCAGAGAAAUUUGGAUUAAUACCUCAUAGUAUAUGUUUUUCGCAUGUUAGACAUAUUAAAGUUCCAACGGUAAAAGAUGGGCAUGCGUCCUAUUAGCUAGAUGGUAAGGUAACGGCUUACCAUGGCUACGAUAGGUAGGGGUCCUGAGAGGGAGAUCCCCCACGCGGGUACUGAGACACGGACCAGACUCAUACGGGAGGCAGCAGUGAGGAAUAUUGGACAAUGGGCGCAAGCCUGAUCCAGCCAUGCCGCGUGCAGGAAGACGGUCCUAUGGAUUGUAAACUGCUUUUGUACGGGAAGAAACACUCCCUCGUGAGGGAGCUUGACGGUACCGUAAGAAUAAGGAUCGGCUAACUCCGUGCCAGCCGCCGCAGUAACAC
rnacentral:rRNA from 1 species